CCUACGGGAGGCAGCAGUGAGGAAUAUUGGUCAAUGGGCGAGAGCCUGAACCAGCCCAAGUAGCGUGCAGGAUGACGGCCCUAUGGGUUGUAAACUGCUUUUAUAAGGGAAUAAAGUGAGUCUCGUGAGACUUUUUGCAUGUACCUUAUGAAUAAGGACCGGCUAAUUCCGUGCCAGCAG
rnacentral:rRNA from 1 species